UACGUAGGGGGCGAGCGUUGUCCGGAUUUAUUGGGCGUAAAGAGCGUGUAGGCGGCCAGGUAGGUCCGUUGUGAAAACUCGAGGCUCAACCUCGAGCCUGCAUUCGAUACUGGGCGGCUAGAGUCUGGUAGGGGGAUCUGGAAUUCCUGGUGUAGCGGUGGAAUGCGCAGAUAUCAGGAGGAACACCGGUGGCGAAGGCGGGAUCCUGGGCCAGUACUGACGCUGAGGAGCGAAAGCGUGGGGAGCAAACAGG
rnacentral:rRNA from 1 species